rnacentral:ncRNA from 1 species
UCGGCUAUGCGUUUUAAUUUUUGACUCUAUUUGUUGUGGUGCUAUGAGUUUUUAGUUUGUUUUUAUGUUGUUUUUUGUAAAAUAUUUUGAUUUUUUUUUAGUUUCUUGUGGUAUCAAAAAUUUGUUUUUUGAACUGGAUUAGUACCCAGGUAAUCAAAAUUUAAUAAUUCGGGAGUAAAGUUUUGUUUAAACCGAAAAAAUAUUGACUGACUUUAGAUUUUUCUUUGGAACAUGUGAUUUGCUGGAGAGCCCUCUUUUUUGGUGAAUUUUGUUGGCACAUGUAUGAUUGUUUAGUUUUUAUUUUAUUUUGUAAUGCUUUGUUGUUUUGGCAUUAAAAACAGAUAUAUAUUUGGCUUAUGAAUUUAUGUUUCAUGUGUUACUAUUAUGAAUUUUUUUUGGAUUAGUUUUUUAUUUUUUUUUGAAAUUGGAAAAGAAAGUAAUUUUUUUUUAAUGUUUUAAUGAAUUUAAUAAAUAAGGUGGUACAAACCAUCCGUCAAUGGCCUAAAGGGGCG